rnacentral:rRNA from 1 species
UGGGGAAUUUUGGACAAUGGGCGAAAGCCUGAUCCAGCAAUGCCGCGUGUGUGAAGAAGGCCUUCGGGUUGUAAAGCACUUUUGUCCGGAAAGAAAUCCUUGGCUCUAAUACAGUCGGGGGAUGACGGUACCGGAAGAAUAAGCACCGGCUAACUACGUGCCAGCAGCCGCGGUAAUACGUAGGGUGCAAGCGUUAAUCGGAAUUACUGGGCGUAAAGCGUGCGCAGGCGGUUUGCUAAGACCGAUGUGAAAUCCCCGGGCUCAACCUGGGAACUGCACUGGUGACUGGCAGGCUAGAGUAUGGCAGAGGGGGGUAGAAUUCCACGUGUAGCAGUGAAAUGCGUAGAGAUGUGGAGGAAUACCGAUGGCGAAGGCAGCCCCCUGGGCCAAUACUGACGCUCAUGCACGAAAGCGUGGGGAGCAAACAGGAUUAGAUACCCUGGUAGUCCACGCCCUAAACGAUGUCAACUAGUUGUUGGGGACUUCAUUUCCUUAGUAACGUAGCUAACGCGUGAAGUUGACCGCCUGGGGAGUACGGUCGCAAGAUUAAAACUCAAAUGAAUUGACGGGGUCAUA